GGAUGAUUACCCAAGCGGCUUAAGGGAACGGUUUUGAAAACCGUUAGCGGGCUAAUAACCUGGCGAAGGUUCGAAUCCUUCAUCAUCCG
rnacentral:tRNA from 1 species